GGUGGCCACAUUGGAACUGGACCAUCACCCAUGGCUCUCUGUUUGCCAGGAGAAGGGGCUGGUACCCAAGAUGGAGACUUUGGAAAGGCCUUUGAAGCCAACUGAAGCCAGCCUCUAAGCCAGAGAAGGAAUGCAGGAGAGUUGAAUGAACUGAGAUACCCAACUCCAACUGGUUGAUGUUGAUGCCUUUUCUGCACUUAAUAAAUGCUUAGCAAAUAUUA